AUUGAACGCUGGCGGCAUGCUUUACACAUGCAAGUCGAACGGUAACAGGGAGCUUGCUCCGCUGACGAGUGGCGAACGGGUGAGUAAUGCGUCGGAACGUGCCGAGUAGUGGGGGAUAACGCAGCGAAAGUUGUGCUAAUACCGCAUACGUACUGAGGUAGAAAGUGGGGGACCUUCGGGCCUCACGCUAUUCGAGCGGCCGACGUCUGAUUAGCUAGUAGGUGAGGUAAAGGCUCACCUAGGCGACGAUCAGGAGCGGGUCUGAGAGGAGGAUCCGCCACACUGGGACUGAGACACGGCCCAGACUCCUACGGGAGGCAGCAGUGGGGAAUUUUGGACAAUGGGCGAAAGCCUGAUCCAGCCAUGCCGCGUGUCUGAAGAAGGCCUUCGGGUUGUAAAGGACUUUUGUCGGGGAGGAAAUCCCCAGCGCUAAUACCGCUGGGGGAUGACAGUACCUGAAGAAUAAGCACCGGCUAACUACGUGCCAGCCGCCGCCGUAAUAC
rnacentral:rRNA from 1 species